GACGAACGCUGGCGGCGUGCUUAACACAUGCAAGUCGAACGGAAAGGCCCUGCUUUUGUGGGGUGCUCGAGUGGCGAACGGGUGAGUAACACGUGAGUAACCUGCCCUUGACUUUGGGAUAACUUCAGGAAACUGGGGCUAAUACCGGAUAGGAGCUCCUGCUGCAUGGUGGGGGUUGGAAAGUUUCGGCGGUUGGGGAUGGACUCGCGGCUUAUCAGCUUGUUGGUGGGGUAGUGGCUUACCAAGGCUUUGACGGGUAGCCGGCCUGAGAGGGUGACCGGCCACAUUGGGAAUGAAAUACGGCCCAGACUCCUACGGGAGGCAGCAGUGGGGAAUAUUGCACAAUGGGCGGAAGCCUGAUGCAGCAACGCCGCGUGCGGGAUGACGGCCUUCGGGUUGUAAACCGCUUUCGCCUGUGACGAAGCGUGAGUGACGGUAAUGGGUAAAGAAGCACCGGCUAACUACGUG
rnacentral:rRNA from 1 species